GCAGACAUCUGCUCCAAAAGGGUGUG
rnacentral:misc_RNA from 1 species